GACAGAGGGUGCAAACGUUGUUCGGAAUUACUGGGCGUAAAGCGCGUGUAGGCGGCAAGCCAAGUCGGGUGUGAAAGCCCUGGGCUCAACCCAGGAAGUGCAUUCGAUACUGGCAAGCUAGAGUCCCGGAGAGGAUGGUGGAACUCUCGGUGUAGAGGUGAAAUUCGUAGAUAUUAGGAAGAACACCGGUGGCGAAGGCGGCCAUCUGGCUCGGUACUGACGCUCAGGCGCGAAAGCGUGGGGAGCAAACAGG
rnacentral:rRNA from 1 species